CGGGGAGUAGCUCAGCUUGGUAGAGCAUCUGCUUUGGGAGCAGAGGGUCGCAGGUUCGAAUCCUGUCUCCCCGACCA
rnacentral:tRNA from 3 species